rnacentral:rRNA from 1 species
UACGGAGGGUGCAAGCGUUAUCCGGAAUCAUUGGGUUUAAAGGGUCCGCAGGCGGAUUUAUAAGUCAGUGGUGAAAGCCCGUCGCUCAACGACGGAACUGCCAUUGAUACUGUAAGUCUUGAAUUCGAUCGAAGUGGGCGGAAUAUGACAUGUAGCGGUGAAAUGCUUAGAUAUGUCAUAGAACACCGAUAGCGAAGGCAGCCCACUAGGUCUGGAUUGACGCUCAGGGACGAAAGCGUGGGGAGCAAACAGG